CAGUCGCCGCGGUAAUACGAAGGGUGCAAGCGUUACUCGGAAUUACUGGGCGUAAAGCGUGCGUAGGUGGUGGUUUAAGUCCGUUGUGAAAGCCCUGGGCUCAACCUGGGAAUUGCAGUGGAUACUGGGUCACUAGAGUGUGGUAGAGGAUAGUGGAAUCUCCGGUGUAGCAGUGAAAUGCGUAGAGAUCGGAAGGAACAUCUGUGGCGAAGGCGACUAUCUGGGCCAACACUGACACUGAGGCACGAAAGCGUGGGGAGCAAACAGGAUUAGAUACCCGUGUAGUCCCUGUCUCUUAUAC
rnacentral:rRNA from 1 species